GAACGCAUAUUGCACUCUCUGGUAUUCCGGGGAGUAUGCCUGUUUGAGGGUCAGUAAAUAAUAAUUAUCAUAAUCUUUUGAUUGUGGAAUUGGGCUUUUAUUUCAUUUUUUAAUGGUUUAUGGCCUUAAAUUUAUGUUACCGCUUGUUUAAUAUGAAAUUCGACCGAAUGGAGCAAUUAAACAAUUCUCUCGUUAGGCGGAUUCAUCAAGCAAUUACGAUUUUUUGGCCGUCGAAGCACUUUUUUUUAGAAGUGCUUGGUCGAGAUUGUAAGAUACAUUUAACAAUGACCUCAAAUCAGGCAAGAAUACCCGCUGAACUGA
rnacentral:misc_RNA from 1 species